UUUUGUACCUACUAUCACUCUUUUGGAUAUAACACAUGCUUUUGGAAAGAAACAGAGGAUCGGCAAUUGGAUUUGGAGAUAGCACUUUCUUGGCUAUACUUUUGGCAUAUUUUUCAUGGAUUUCAAGUUUGGAUAAAGGAAAUAUUGGAGAUUGAAGUCUGUGUUUGCAAAUCCAAUGGUAGUAAGUGAUCCGAAUUGCUAGUGUUGUAUUUUGAGCUUUAUCUUAUACAAUUUGAUAAGAUUUUAGCUAAACAUUUUCAAGAACAUGUAUUUUUAUGUUACUAAACCUUAUACAUAAGUUUUUUAAUAUUUGGAUUUUGGGUUUGUGAGAUAUGAAGAAAUAAUACAUAGGUGCUUGUGAAUUAGGGUUUUAGAGAACUUAAUAGGAUUUUUAAG
rnacentral:lncRNA from 1 species